rnacentral:rRNA from 1 species
GAUGAACGCUGGCGGCGUGCUUAACACAUGCAAGUCGAACGGGAAUUACUUUAUUGAAACUUCGGUGGAUUUAAUUUAAUUCUAGUGGCGGACGGGUGAGUAACGCGUGGGUAACCUGCCUUGUACAGGGGGAUAACAGUCAGAAAUGACUGCUAAUACCGCAUAAGCGCACAGGACCGCAUGGUCCAGUGUGAAAAACUCCGGUGGUAUAAGAUGGACCCGCGUUGGAUUAGCUAGUUGGUGGGGUAACGGCCUACCAAGGCGACGAUCCAUAGCCGGCCUGAGAGGGUGAACGGCCACAUUGGGACUGAGACACGGCCCAGACUCCUACGGGAGGCAGCAGUGGGGAAUAUUGCACAAUGGGGGAAACCCUGAUGCAGCGACGCCGCGUGAAGGAAGAAGUAUCUCGGUAUGUAAACUUCUAUCAGCAGGGAAGAA